UGUAGCUCUGUGGUAGAGCAUUUGCCCAGCAUGCACAAGGCCCUGGGUUCGAUCCCCAGUA
rnacentral:tRNA from 1 species